UUAUUAUUAUUAUUUUUUUUUUUUUUUUUUUUUAUAUAUAACAUUGUAUACCUAAUCACAAUAAUUAUUUUAUAUCGAUUGUAAAUAAUCUAUAAGCGUGUUCCUAUUUAAUAAGAGAUCACGGCCUCUAGUUGUCUCCGCGAAGAAAAUAGCUGCUGCCGCUCGAUGUAUUAUAUAAUAUUAUGUAGUAUAAUAUAUUAUUAUUAUUAUUAUUAUUAUAAUAAACUUUUAACGUAAUAUUAUUAAUUUUAUUAUUUCGAUAAUUUCCCCUGUAAAUAAUCAAUAUCACACACACACACACACA